GACAGAGGUGCCAAGCGUUAGGCGGAAUCACUGGGCUUAAAGCGUGUGUAGGCGGAUCGUUAAGUACCUUGUGAAAUCCCACGGCUCAACCGUGGAACUGCUCGGUAUACUGGCGAUCUUGAGCCACCUAGGGGCAACUGGAACAAGCGGUGGAGCGGUGAAAUGCGUAGAUAUCGCUUGGAACGCCGAAGGUGAAAACAGGUUGCUGGGGAUGUGCCGACGCUGAGACACGAAAGCCAGGGGAGCAAACGGG
rnacentral:rRNA from 1 species